UGUAUAGAAACUUGAUGAUCGAAUAAUAAUCGUCUUUAUUAAAAAAUAUUUAACAACAAAAUAGCAAAAAAAGCAAUAUUUGUAAUCUCAUAUAAACAUUUUCGGCGUUCGCGAGAAAUUUUACGAUAGAUGUGUAUAGAUGUGUUGUAUAGAAAACUUACAUUACAUGAUAUCCUUGACGUUGCGUCUUUUGUUUCGAUCAAUAAAUACGGUUUAAUGUUUUAUCUCUAGACCGUCGCGUCAUUAAGUACAGCGUAAGUAUCGUUACGCGUACAUGAGAUAUUUACCACAAAUACUAAAGAAAACAAAUUAAUGCGUUUAAUAACCGGUACCACAAAAUAGUAGCUCUAUGCUCUGCAGUCGAUUGAACAAAAAUCUAUUUGUGUAAUUUUCUACAAAAGACGCUAGGCGCUAGAUGUAAUAUUUAUAUGUGUAUGUAUACAAUUGUUCAUAAUCAUUCAUAGAAAUGUUUUUUUACAUUAACUUAACCUAACUCUGCUAACACGGAGUCAAGAUCUUCUUGGAGAGUGAAACUAUCUUCCCGUUGUUUUACUAAAUCAUCUUUCAGCCUGUCGACUUGUGCUUUGAGCAGAUAAUUACCUUUUCUUAAUGCAGCUAAACGUCCUUCGUGUUUCUUGGCUUGUUUCUGUUAAAAUAUAUAUACAAUUAAAAGAUUCUUAUGUAACAUGUUAUCGUAUAACAGUUUGUAUUACCUGUAAUGUAUUUCGUUGACCUUCCAGAGAUUGAUCUUCAUCUUCUGUUUCAGUUUCUUCGUCUUCAGAUUCUUCAGAUUCUGAUUCUU